GAUGAACGCUAGCUACAGGCUUAACACAUGCAAGUCGAGGGGAAACGAUAGAGAAAGCUUGCUUUUUCUAGGCGUCGACCGGCGCACGGGUGUGUAACGCGUAUCCAACCUGCCCACCACUUGGGGAUAACCUUGCGAAAGUAAGACUAAUACCCAAUGAUAUCUCAAGAAGACAUCUGAAUGAGAUUAAAGAUUUAUCGGUGAUGGAUGGGGAUGCGUCUGAUUAGCUUGUUGGCGGGGUAACGGCCCACCAAGGCGACGAUCAGUAGGGGUUCUGAGAGGAAGGUCCCCCACAUUGGAACGGAGACACGGUCCAAACUCCUACGGGAGGCAGCAGUGAGGAAUAUUGGUCAAUGGGCGAGAGCCUGAACCAGCCAAGUAGCGUGCAGGAUGACGGCCCUAUGGGUUGUAAACUGCUUUUAUAAGGGAAUAAAGUGAGUCUCGUGAGACUUUUUGCAUGUACCUUAUGAAUAGGACCGGCUAAUUCCGUGCCAGCCGCCGCCGUAA
rnacentral:rRNA from 1 species